rnacentral:tRNA from 1 species
GUCCUAGUAAUUUAAAUAAAAAUAGUGGUCUUGUAAGCCAAAAAUGAAAUAAAUUUCCAAGGACU